GGAGGGAGGGAGGGGGAAGGGAAAAAAAAAUCCAAGUUCAAGUUCAAGUCGGACGGAUUUUGCCAGAGCGAGAGAGAGAGAGAGAGAGAGAGACAGAAAAAAAAGAGGGAGGGAGGGAAAAUUAAUGAGAAAGAAAGGCAGCCACAAUUGAGAGAAAGUACGCCAACUUACCGAGGCAGCACGUUGAAGGAUACAUUGUGUCGGUGAGAGGAAGCGCUGAGGGGGAACAGGAGCUUCCGAGACCUGUUUCCUGAGACAAACACCGUCGAAGAAAACACUGAACUGAAGCCCACGCACACGGUCCCAACCACAGAAGGAAGGUGAAGAAUUCCUCACUUAAAAAACAGAUGACCCCAUUGGCAGGACAACUGCAUGAAAUUCAGCAUCCUGUACAGGGUGUGUGAGGAGAUCAUGCUACCAACCACGAGGAGAAGACAGAUGCUGCCUUUGAUUGUUCUUCCAGACCUCCGAAGGUGCACCCCACCCUGCAAUUGGAACUCGCUCCUCUGUUGAUCGUGGGGAGCGAACAUCGGAACCGGCACCUGAAAAUGAUUUGAAGCGAUCGGGAUUCGGUUGGAGAAGGCGCGAUAUACAGAGAAGCAAUAAGAGCUACCUGUGAUGACCAUACACAGCCACGUAUAACCUCAGGAGGCUUCAGAAGGAGAGAGGAAAAAAAUCAAAAUUGCAAGUGCACAGGGCUGCAUGGGUCAGAAGACAGUUGAAGAAUGGAUUUAGGAUGAGUGCGGAGACAUAAUGGAGAGCAGGUGCCUAUCCCAGGUAAUGAGUUAUUGCACAUCAUCUCCGACUUAUUGAAAAGCAUCGUACUUCGGUAAGACUUCGCAAGGUAUCAAAUACAGUGGAGGCAGUUUGCAGAUCCCAUCUCAGCUCAUUACAUUUGCUGCUCAAUAGUACUGUGAUGCUUCACAUUAAUAAAUUGAUCCUAACUUCCAAUUGAAGAAUAUUCUUAAGUUAAGAAAAUUAAUGAAAACAAAAAGAUUACAGAGCUGUUAAGCUAUCUGGAGAACUGGUGUUUGUUGAGAGUUGUGUAAUGGAUCAGAGCAGUUUAUGACUGCUGCUCUUCACUCCAUCUCCUUCCAGUUGAAUGAAUUCACUCCUAGUUGCCGAUUAGGUAAAAAAAACACCUGGAGAUUGUGGUAGUGGCAGAACUUUCUGUUUGAUCAUUUCGAGGCUGUGAAAAUUUCAGUAAGUGAUUAAUAAAAAAACAGUUUAAUAAUGUGUUGGAAGAAAUGCGACCCACACUAGUUACUAGCGCUGGAAAUGCUGGGAAUCCAUAGGAGAACAAUUGACAUCUGAAAGAGAAAGAAGGUCAGCUAUUGAGACACAUUCCUUGAAUGGUAAUGAGUAAGGGUCAUACAUGAAGAGUCUUCUUACUAAGCACUUAUUACAACAGCAGCCUGCACUUAUAGUCUUUCACACAGAAUGAACAUGUUGCAGGAUUCAGCAGAUACAAUGGUAAGUAUCAAACAGGGGAAGGAGAGAAUUAAGGAUGCUGACCCAAGGCAUGGUGGAAGAGAUGUUUACGAAGACAUGUUCAAA